rnacentral:rRNA from 1 species
ACGGAAGGCAGCAGUAGGGAAUAUUGCACAAUGGGGGAAACCCUGAUGCAGCAACGCCACGUGUGGGAAGAAGCAUUUCGGUGUGUAAACCACUGUCGUGAGGGAAUAAGGCAUUGUUUCGGCGAUGUUGAAUGUACCUCGAAAGGAGGCACCGGCAAACUUCGUGCCAGCAGCCGCGGUAAUACGAGGGGUGCAAGCGUUGUUCGGAAUCACUGGGCGUAAAGGGAGCGCAGGCGGAGAUGCAAGCGGACUGUACAAUCCCGGGGCCCAACCCCGGACCUGCAGUCCGGACUGCACCUCUUGGAUAGUUCAGGGGCAAGCGGAAUUCCUGGUGUAGCGGUUGAAUGCGUAGAGAUCAGGAAGAACACCGAUGGCGAAGGCAGCUUGCUGGAGACUUAUCGACGCUCAUUCUCGAAAGUGCGGGUAGCAAACAGGAUUAGAUACCCUGGUA